rnacentral:tRNA from 1 species
GGGCCGCUAGCUCAGCUGGUAGAGCAUCCGGGAUGUAGUGCACUCGCCCUCCGCCGUCGUGCGGGCAUGGGUGCGCUUCCUUCUCAUUAGGGAUCGGAAGGUUCGGGGUUCGAGUCCCCGGCGGCCCA